rnacentral:rRNA from 1 species
GUGAACGCUGGCGGUAGGCCUAACACAUGCAAGUCGAACGGCAGCACAGUAAGAGCUUGCUCUUACGGGUGGCGAGUGGCGGACGGGUGAGGAAUACAUCGGAAUCUACUUUUUCGUGGGGGAUAACGUAGGGAAACUUACGCUAAUACCGCAUACGACCUACGGGUGAAAGCAGGGGAUCUUCGGACCUUGCGCGAUUGAAUGAGCCGAUGUCGGAUUAGCUAGUUGGCGGGGUAAAGGCCCACCAAGGCGACGAUCCGUAGCUGGUCUGAGGGGAUGAUCAGCACACCGGGAAAUAGGAACAGGUCCAAACCCCUAAGGGAGGCAGCGGGGGGAAAUUUUGGGAAAGGGGCGGAGGCCUAGACCGGCCAAUCCGCGGGGGUGAAAAAGGCCUUCGGGUUGUAAAGCCCUUUUUUUGGGAAAGAAAAACGGCCGGUUAAUCCCCCGCUGUUCUGACGGUACCCAAAAAAAAAGCCCCGGCUAACUUCGU